AAGUCGAGCGGGGGAAGGUAGCUUGCUACUGGACCUAGCGGCGGACGGGUGAGUAAUGCUUAGGAAUCUGCCUAUUAGUGGGGGACAACAUUCCGAAAGGAAUGCUAAUACCGCAUACGUCCUACGGGAGAAAGCAGGGGACCUUCGGGCCUUGCGCUAAUAGAUGAGCCUAAGUCGGAUUAGCUAGUUGGUGGGGUAAAGGCCUACCAAGGCGACGAUCUGUAGCGGGUCUGAGAGGAUGAUCCGCCACACUGGGACUGAGACACGGCCCAGACUCCUACGGGAGGCAGCAGUGGGGAAUAUUGGACAAUGGGGGGAACCCUGAUCCAGCCAUGCCGCGUGUGUGAAGAAGGCCUUAUGGUUGUAAAGCACUUUAAGCGAGGAGGAGGCUACUAGUAUUAAUACUACUGGAUAGUGGACGUUACUCGCAGAAUAAGCACCGGCUAACUCUGUGCCAGCAGCCACGGUAAUACAGAGGGUGCGAGCGUUAAUCGGAUUUACUGGGCGUAAAGCGUGCGUAGGCGGCCAUUUAAGUCAAAUGUGAAAUCCCCGAGCUUAACUUGGGAAUUGCAUUCGAUACUGGAUGGCUAGAGUAUGGGAGAGGAUGGUAGAAUUCCAGGUGUAGCGGUGAAAUGCGUAGAGAUCUGGAGGAAUACCGAUGGCGAAGGCAGCCAUCUGGCCUAAUACUGACGCUGAGGUACGAAAGCAUGGGGAGCAAACAGGAUUAGAUACCCUGGUAGUCCAUGCCGUAAACGAUGUCUACUAGCCGUUGGGGCCUUUGAGGCUUUAGUGGCGCAGCUAACGCGAUAAGUAGACCGCCUGGGGAGUACGGUCGCAAAACUAAAACUCAAAUGAAUUGACGGGGGCCCGCACAAGCGGUGGAGCAUGUGGUUUAAUUCGGUGCAACGCGAAGAACCUUACCUGGCCUUGACAUACUAGAAACUUUCCAGAGAUGGAUCGGUGCCUUCGGGAAUCUAGAUAC
rnacentral:rRNA from 1 species